UACAGAGGUGGCAAGCGUUAAUCGGAAUACUGGGCGUAAGCGUGCGCAGGCGGUGAUGGUAAGACAGAUGUGAAAUCCCCGGGCUCAACCUGGGAACUGCAUUUGUGACUGCAUCGCUGGAGUGCGGCAGAGGGGGAUGGAAUUCCGCGUGUAGCAGUGAAAUGCGUAGAUAUGUGGAGGAACACCGAUGGCGAAGGCAGCCCCCUGGGAUGUGACUGACGCUCAUGUACGAAAGCGUGGGGAGCAAACAGG
rnacentral:rRNA from 1 species